CUAAGUAUUAUAGUAUCCUGUGACACUGUAUGAUUUACGAUUACUCUUGAACGUAUCGUCUGGGUGCCCGUGUUUAGAAGGGUUCAAAGGUUUUAUGACGCCACUGACAGGCGAGUAAAUGAAACGCCCCGUCUCAUUAAAAUUAAAUAACAGAUUUUUCUGGGUUUGAAUGUUGUUGGAAACAGUUAGGAUAGUGUAAGUACACAACUCCACAAAAUACUGUAACAGUUUUAGUUGUUUUAAGACAUUUUAAUGCAAAAUGUUACAUUUUGUACCUACAAUCAUUACAGCUGG